GACGAACGCUGGCGGCGUGCCUAAUACAUGCAAGUAGGACGCACAGUCUAUACCGUAGCUUGCUACACCAUAGGCUGUGAGUUGCGAACGGGUGAGUAACGCGUAGGUAACCUGCCUAUUAGAGGGGGAUAACUAUUGGAAACGAUAGCUAAUACCGCAUAACAGUAUGUAACACAUGUUAGAUGCUGGAAAGAUGCAAUUGCAUCGCUAGUAGAUGGACCUGCGUUGUAUUAGCUAGUAGGUAGGGUAAUGGCCUACCUAGGCGACGAUACAUAGCCGACCUGAGAGGGUGAUCGGCCACACUGGGACUGAGACACGGCCCAGACUCCUACGGGAGGCAGCAGUAGGGAAUCUUCGGCAAUGGGGGGAACCCUGACCGAGCAACGCCGCGUGAGUGAAGAAGGUUUUCGGAUCGUAAAGCUCUGUUGUUAAGGAAGAACGAGUGUGAGAAUGGAAAGUUCAUACUGUGACGGUACUUAACCAGAAAGGGACGGCUAACUACGUG
rnacentral:rRNA from 1 species